ACCAAAAAAUAUUUUAUCCAAAAUUGUUUAACUUAAACUAAAUUUUACUUCGAAUUCAGUUUCAAAAAUUCAUAAAAUUAUCGUGAAUACCUAUUUGAGUACCUUGAAAAUGACAAGUGAACCAAACUAUGAAAUAAUGGACCAAUCAGAGGUGUCAAUGGAGCAUGAACAAAAUGUACGAGACGAGCCAUCAAAAAAACUAUUCAAAAAAUCAUUUAAGCGGUUCAACCAGAUUUUGAUUCAUGCAAGCUACUGUGUAGAUCUACAAUGUCCUCAAGCCGGUUGUGAGAAAGUGAAGCGUCAUGUGAAACAUGCCAAGAUUUGCAUAAGAAAAAACAAGGAUGAAUGUUUGUCGUGCACCAAAUUUCUGAGGCUAUGCUAUCUUCAUGCAAAAAAAAUGUGCCGCCACCAAGUGUUUGGCAUUAUAUUGUUCACAUAAUAAGCAAAAACGAAAACAACAAUCGCUUGAUCGACGCAUCAAAAAGGCACUGAAAAGAGCCGAAUUAUUACGCCACCGUGUUGGACUCAUGAAGCUCCGAACGGCAUUAACGUUCAAUAUACCACGUACUGCUUUUGAUGGAAAUCAAAAUAUAGGAGACUUGAGGCCACGAAAUCUGGAAAUGAUAUUUAUCAAACAGCAACGGGAAAUCGAUGAGCUAAACGACUUGACAAAUCAAUUCAGCAUAUCAAUUUGACGGAGCUUUAUCUCGAUAAAAAACUAG